AUGCCAGGCGCUGUAAGGUCUGCUCUCCCUGCAUGCAGUGGGCACCUACCGUCCAUAGAAGGCCUGACCUCUGACCCCGGGCCAGCUGCUCCCAGGCUGGGGCUGUCCCAGCUACACAAAGUCCCCGAGGGUUUGUUUCCUGGGAAGCUGCUGGCCACAGAUUCUGCCUUCACCCUGGGAGGAGCGGGUACUACAGAACCCAGGACAUUUUCUGUCUCACCCAUCGCCCGUGCCCUUGAAGCCUUGGCACACGACGAAGAAGACCGCCCAGGGUGUGCUGAGCCUGGGAACAGGCAUCUGAGGCGCCUAUCAACAUUUCCAGGAGCAAUGGGUCGAUACCCACAGCUCCUGAAGCCCCAGACCCGGAGCCCUGGACCUCCUUGGCAGAACCCUGCCCCUGGAGCCUCCGUGGAGGACACAGCUGCGUGGACAGCCCUCCAGAUAACCUCAGUGUGAAUGUCAUCAGCGUGCACCUCAAAGCUCCCCGCCCACCACACUUGGAGCAUCAGCCACAGAGAUACUUUCUCCUGGCCUCAGCCCAGACGGACAGCCUGCAGCCUCCCAGGACGCAGCCAGACGACACACCCAGGCUCACCCUGGACCCCGCAGGCGUCCGUGGCUCCAGGCCAGCGGCAGAUCUGGAGGCCAGCUGAGCAAGCCAGAAGCCCUCACUGCUACUGCGGUCCGGAAAGCUAUAAAGCAGCAAUAACGUCAAAGUUAUUUAGGGGAGCAAGACCUGGGACUUGAGCUUGAGUUAAAAAGUUAGGGGCAGGAGUCAGAUCAUCCGGCAUUUCUUCGGAAGGAGGCAGGAACAGCUACUCACCUGGCUGGCACUGCAGCCCAUCAGAGAUGAGGCUCCUCUCCUCUCGAGGCUCCUCAGAGCAGGUCCUCCGUGAGGACCACACCACCACGGAGCCUGCCCUGCACCGGCCUGUGCUCGCCACUCCAGAGCGUCCCGGCCCCCCGCCGGCCUCCUCCUUGUCCUGCCAGGCCAACGAAACAAGCAGAACUCGAUAGUAAAUUAUUUUGUUCAGCCCUCUGUCUUUUUAUGAAAAUAAAAGCCAACACUUUGUCAUUUUUAAUCACAUAAGCAGACAAUAAAUCUAAUUUCGAUAUUGAUUUUUUUCCAGAAUCAAGUGAUUUUUUUGCAGUGCCUGUUGUGUUUCCUUUUCUAAAGAAGGGCUGCCGGCCUGCAGACUGGUGGCGUGGCCGAGCGUGUGCAGCCUGCUCCUCGGAAACAGGCGGUUGGCCGUGGACUUUGAAACCAGGCAGCUGAGCUGAGCGGGAGUUCCUAGCCGGCAGGGUGUCUCCGUCUUGUCUAGCUAUCUAAAUCGUGGUUUCCUCUGAGCCGCCCCUGGUGCCUACCAUAGAGCUACGGCUCAGCCAGUACCUUUAGUGGUUAGAGCUCCUGAGAUUCACUUUGCUUAAAUAGUUUCAAUAAAAUAAAAAUAAGCCAAAAA
rnacentral:lncRNA from 1 species